rnacentral:rRNA from 1 species
AUUGAACGCUGGCGGCAGGCCUAACACAUGCAAGUCGAGCGAGCGGCGGACGGGUGAGUAAUGUAUGGGGACUGCCCGAUAGAGGGGGAUAAAUACUGGAAACGGUGGCUAAUACCGCAUAUUGUCGGAUAACCCAUAUGGGAUUAGCUAGUAGGUAAGGUAAUGGCUUACCUAGGCGACGUUCCCUAGCUGGUCUGCUAGGAUGAUCAGCCACACUGGGACUGAGACACGGCCCAGACGCCUACGGAGGCAGCAGUGGGGAAUAUUGCACAAUGGGCGCAAGCCUGAUGCAGCCAUGCCGCGUGUAUGAAGAAGUCCCUAGGGUUGUAAAGUACUUUCAGUCGGGAGGCGUUACCGACAGAAGAAGCACCGGCUAACUCCGUGCCAGCAGCCGCGGUAAUUC